GAUGAGACACAUGCGUACCCAGUGUAGAGUGACUGAUAAAGGAAUGCUGCCAUCAAAGGCUUUGAAUCUUUUGUGGUGGCGCAGGACCUGCAAUGAAUGGUGACUGCAUUUGUGGGUGAAAAAAGGAAAACCUGAUAUAAAAAUAUAAAAGACCCCAGCAAAGAAAGGUGGGCAUGGUGGUCAGCUGCAGAACUGGCACAGCUGUGUUGAGAUGCAGUAGGAUGUGGGUUACAUGAAUGUAAAUACAUGAUUGUCAGAACAAUAUGUUUGAAUAAAGCUUUGUUCCAUGUGUCAUUAUUUAUUGUCAUGGUUACUUUUAUUUAUUUUCUUUACUCAUUUAUUCAUGUUUUCUGUUGUUGCCAGUAAAUAAAAUAUAAUUGUUUCAUUAACUAAUACAUUAAUUCAUGACUUGACUGAAAAUUGAUAUGUAUUCGCCUUGGCUGAAUUUAUCUAUUGUGUAGUCAUGCAUAGCUAUGGCACAUGACAAAAAUUACAUUUUGCUUGUUUUACUCAAAAAUAUAAUUAAUUAUUGGUCAGCAUUUAUCAUUAUUAUUGUUCAUAAGUGUUGGGGUGGGCU